rnacentral:tRNA from 2 species
GGGGCAGUAGCUCAGUUUGGUGGUAGCGCCGGUCUCCAAAACCGGAGGUCCCAGGUUCGAGUCCUGGCUGCCCCG